AAAUUCUGAGAAGGUGAACACCCAGGAGCUGGUUAAUGCUCAAACCACGACGGAUCUAGAUUACGGAGAGAGAACUCCGACUCUAGAGGAAUGAAUGGAGGAGACGAAUGAGAAGAAGAACUAUGAAGAAGAUGAUAUUUUAAGUAUAUA
rnacentral:sRNA from 1 species